rnacentral:rRNA from 1 species
CUACGGGGGGCUGCAGUGGGGAAUAUUGCACAAUGGAGGAAACUCUGAUGCAGCAACGCCGCGUGGAGGAUGACACUUUUCGGAGCGUAAACUCCUUUUAUAUAGGAAGAAGAUGACGGUACUAUAUGAAUAAGCGCCGGCUAACUCCGUGCCAGCAGCCGCGGUAAUACGGAGGGCGCAAGCGUUACUCGGAAUCACUGGGCGUAAAGAGCGUGUAGGCGGAUUAAAGUCAGAAGUGAAAUCCUAUAGCUUAACUAUAGAACUGCUUCUGAAACUCUUAAUCUAGAAUAUGGGAGAGGUAGAUGGAAUUUCUGGUGUAGGGGUAAAAUCCGUAGAGAUCAGAAGGAAUACCGAUUGCGAAGGCGAUCUACUAGAACAUUAUUGACGCUGAGACGCGAAAGCGUGGGGAGCAAACAGGAUUAGAUACCCUGGUAGUC